UACGUAGGGUACGAGCAUUAAUCGGAUUUAUUGGGCGUAAAGGGCGCGUAGGCGGGAGCGCAAGUCAGAUGUGAAAGCCCGGGGCUCAACCUCGGAACAGCAUUUGAAACUACACUUCUAGAGGGUAGGCGGAGAAAACGGAAUUCCACAAGUAGCGGUGAAAUGCGUAGAUAUGUGGAAGAACACCAGUGGCGAAGGCGGUUUUCUAGCUUAUACCUGACGCUGAGGCGCGAAAGCAAGGGGAGCAAACAGG
rnacentral:rRNA from 1 species